ensembl:lncRNA
GAAGUCUUCUACAUCUGAAGUGUAUCUUUCUCUUAUAUUUCAGUUUGGACCAGCCGUCUUUCAAGGGCUCAACAGCCAUGUUGGCUAGCGGCUUCCAUACUAGCCAUGGCAGGACCGGGUUUUCUUUCAGAGGUUGAGGUUGCCCCCUGCCCCUCUCCCGGAACCAGAGAGCUUCCAGAGGCCACGAUCUUAGCAACACAGUGAGGCAAUCCAGUCUCCAAGUAGAUAUUCGUAAUUUAGAGAACAAGAUGCCCAUUUCAAGGGGCCCCCGUCCCAUCCAACGCAGCGUCCGCUCCUGGGCACAUAAACAAAGCAGGCUGCGGGUUGUCCAUUGGGUCCUUUUCCGAGAGGUGGACCUCAAACGUUCCACGCCACACCCCUCGAAAGGAAGAAAGUUCUAAAUCCUCAGGGCGUACAUUACGCUAACCCCACCCUGCACACGGACUUUCCCCCCGCCGUCAGCGAAUUCCACCUGGCCUACACACACCCUGCUUCUCCGCAGAAGCUUGCUGUGCUCAUUGCUCGCCCGACUCGAGACUGAAGACCCAAGAGGCCCUCAGACCUGGCCCUGUGUGCCAUCGUCGGUUCACCAGCCCUUCAGCCACAUCUGCUUGCUGCUAGACAGAGGUCGCGCUCAGUGGAGCGGAGAGCCUCAGUUCAGUUGAUGAAGUCCCAAGCCUGAGGGACACAUUCCUGGUUAAGGUACCAGACAUAGGAGAGGGGCCCUUGUUGGAAACUUAUAACCACUUCCCAGGCGGCACUAGUGGUAAAGAACACGCCUGCCAGUGCAGCAGACAUAAGAGACUUGGGUUUGAUCCCUGGGUCCAGAAGACCCCCUGGAGGAGGGCAUGGCAACCCAGUUCAGUAUUCUUGGCUGGAGAAUCCCAUGGACAGAGGAGCCUGGUGGGCUACAGUCCAUAAGGUUGCAAAGAGUCAGACACCACCGAAGCAAAUGAGCACGCUCAGUGAGCGGGACUCUCCCUCGCUUGUACCUGUUCUGCCAGGAUACAUCUCCUGAAAUCUACUCAUCACUGUUCACAGGUCCUGCAGGGCCUUGGAUGGAAAAAGACAGGAAAACGGCUGAGGCUAAGACCAGCUAAGGGGGAUCGCAGUUUCCAGUUCAAGAUGGCGGAGUAGAAGGACACACGUUCAUCUCCUCCUGCCAGAGCAGUCGCUGACAGUCAUCAACAGGAGGACGCUGGAACCCACAGAAACAACACAACAAAAAAAGACCAGCUCAGGAAAAGAAAUUCCAAAAGUUUCCAAACAUUUUUUCACUGGAUAUGUUCCAGAUAAUCAUUCAGCAGAUCUAAAGGGAGCAAAGGUUCGAUCACUGAUGAUCAUUGUCCAGGAACUGAGAUCCCACAUGUCGUCAGGGAACUCAGCCUUCACACUGCAACUAAAGAGGAGCCCUUGUGCUUCAGCGAAGACCCAGCACAGCCAAAAAAAAAGGUAUAAAAGUGUUGUACGAGGAGGCAAAUUCAGCCCACAUGCUGGGAGAGGAGGGAGGUCUCUGAGAGGUCUCCAUGUCAGAAGCUAAGGAAGGAAUGAUCCAUCACCUACAGUCCUCUAGAGUCCUGACCCUUCACACAGAGGCUUGGGUGGACAGCUGGAUUUAUGACUCCCGAAGUCAGUCACUGCAUCCUGCCUGCGCCAAGUCUGCGGCCCAGACAACCCCACAACGUGUCUGAUCAUUCAAGCCCAGUCCCAACCCUGCCGCUGCUGCUAAGUCGCUUCAGUUGUGUCUGACUCUGUGCGACCCCAUAAACGGCAACCCACCAGGCUCCCCCGUCCCUGGGAUUCUCCAGGCAAGAACACUGGAGUGGGUUGCCAUUUCCUUCUCCAAUGCAGGAAAGUGGAAAGUGAAAGUGAAGUCACUCGGUUGUGUCCAACUCUUAGCGACCCCAUGGACUGCAGCCUACCAGGCUCCUCUGUCCAUGGGAUUUUCCAGGCAAGAGUACUGGAGUGGGGUGCCAUUGCCUUCUCCGAGCCCCAACCCUACAGACGCUAAUCCAGUCCCCUUCCAUUGGGGCCAUGGUUCAAGUUCCACUCCCUUCCCCAUGUUUAGGAGUUCUCUUCAGUUCUGGCUCUCAGGGAUUUUCUUUCCUGAGAUUUGAGUUCAAUCAUAUCUUUCAAAUUAUUUUAUUAGGGCUUUUUUCCCCCUGCAUUUCUGUGUUUGAGAUAGAAAGGGGUUCCAGUCUCCUCUAUUAAAGUAACCACAAUAAACCCAAAAUGGACUCAUGCUAAGCCCCAUAUCAACAAAGCAAAACUUAACUAAAUUUCUCUGCUCCCCCAGAAAAGGAAGCCCCGGUCCACCCAACACUGCUUGCCUACUCAGCACAAGUCACCUGAUCAGCAUCCAAGACUUCACUUUUCUCUGUGUAAGGAAACAACCCUGCUUUACCCAAUCAGCAAGUGCCCAGUUUCGUUUUGUUUUCUAACUUUUUUAACCAUAUAGCACAGGAAUUUUUAUUCAAUAUGUUGUAAUUAACUAUGUUCAGUCGCUCAGUCAUGGCCAACUCUUUGCAACCCCAAUAGGCAGACUGUAGCCUGCCAGUCUCCUCUGUCCAAGGGGUUCUCUAGGCAAGAAUACUGGGGUGGGUUGCCAUUUCCUUCUCCUGGAAUAACUAUAAUGAAAUGCAAUCUGCAAAAAAUCAAACAAAAACCAAAUGCCCAGUUUAACUUCCUUGUUCCUACUCACGUUGGCCUGUAAAAAUCUCUCGCAUUGCAUAGCUCUUCAGAGCUCUUCCCAGUCUGCUAGACUAGAUGCUGUCACUGAAUAAAAGUCUAUCGG